rnacentral:tRNA from 1 species
AGGAUUAUAGUUUAUAUAAAACAUUUGAUUUGCACUCAAAAAAUAUUGAAUUAAACAAAUUUCAAUUUAUCUUA